rnacentral:rRNA from 1 species
GGUGUGGGGGCCAUUCCACGGUUUCCGCGCCGCAGCUAACGCAUUAAGUGCCCCGCCUGGGGAGUACGGCCGCAAGGCUAAAACUCAAAGGAAUUGACGGGGGCCCGCACAAGCGGCGGAGCAUGCGGAUUAAUUCGAUGCAACGCGAAGAACCUUACCAAGGCUUGACAUGUUCCCGACCGCCACAGAGAUGUGGUUUCCCCUUUGGGGCGGGUUCACAGGUGGUGCAUGGUUGUCGUCAGCUCGUGUCGUGAGAUGUUGGGUUAAGUCCCGCAACGAGCGCAACCCUCGUUCCAUGUUGCCAGCGGGUUAUGCCGGGGACUCAUGGGAGACUGCCGGGGUCAACUCGGAGGAAGGUGGGGACGACGUCAAAUCAUCAUGCCCCUUAUGUCUUGGGCUUCACGCAUGCUACAAUGGCCGGUACAAUGGGUUGCGAUACUGUGAGGUGGAGCCAAUCCCAAAAAGCCGGUCUCAGUUCGGAUUGGGGUCUGCAACUCGACCCCAUGAAGUCGGAGUCGCUAGUAAUCGCAGAUCAGCAACGCUGCGGUGAAUACGUUCCCGGGCCUUGUACACACCGCCCGUCAAGUCACGAAAGUCGGUAACACCCGAAGCCGGUGGCCCAACCCUUGUGGGGGGAGCCGUCGAAGGUGGGACUGGCGAUUGGGACUAAGUCGUCAAGGGGUAACC